rnacentral:lncRNA from 1 species
GCUAGGGGUUUGGCUUGGCUUCACCAUGGGUGUAGGCCUUCUAUACUCCACCAGAAUAUUUGUUCGAGUGUGAUUCUCGUUGAUGAAGAUUUUGAUGCGAGGAUUGUAGACUCAGGGCUUGCUAGGCUUAUGGUUCCUUUAGAUAAUAACGAGAGCAGUUUCAUGACUGGUGACUUGGGUGAGUUUGGUUAUGUAGCUCCAGAGUAUUCAACCACAAUGUUAGCUUCGUUAAAAGGUGAUGUGUAUGGACUUGGGGUUGUUCUCUUGGAGUUGGCGACAGGGGUGAAAGCUCUUGGUAAAGAAGGUUUUAAAGGGAGCUUGGUUGAUUGGGUGAAGCAUCUUGAGAGCUCCGGGAGACUCGUUGAUGUAAUUGAUGAAGAGAUUAAAGGGAAAGGGUGUGAUGAAGAGAUUAUUAAGUUUGUUGAGGUGGCUUGUAACUGUGUGGCUUCAAGGCCUAAAGAGAGAUGGUCUAUGUUUAAGGCGUA